rnacentral:lncRNA from 1 species
CAUGGUGGCACAUGCUUGUAGUCCCAGGUACUACAGAGGCUGAGGCGGGAGAAUCACUUCAGCCCUGGUGGCGGUGGUUGCAGUGAGCUGAGAUCACGCCAUUGCACUCCAGCCUGGGCAAUAAGAGCAAAACUCCGUCUCAAAAAAAAAAGAUUUGAUGAAUAAAUAAAUUUAAUCCUAACAAUAAAACCAAGAGUGACUGCAAAUAAUCCAGCUGUUAAAAUGGUCAAUUCACUCUAAACAUAAGUCAAACCAAUUAUUUGGAAUCAUGAGGUGAAACUGUCACUCCUCUGCUUCUGUAUGGUGAGGAAUUAGUUUGGACCACAGAAACACAGCCUCCUUACAAGGAAAAUAAUAAAGGACCAGCCCACAUUGUUUUAUUGUUCUGUUCUUUUUGAAGUAGAAUUUAUACAUACAAAUGAGAAGCAUUAAAGUUAAUACUCUCAUACAGCCAGACCACAUCGAUUUUUCUCCACAAUUGAUCUUAUUCAUUCUGAGCAUUUACUAUGUACUCAAUAUUCAUUUAGGGGCAGGCAUUGACCUCUAUAUUCAUAUGAUCGUUUUUGUUUUUCAUUCUUUUAUAUUUGUUGCUCUAAUCACAUCCAUAUGAGUAUAUCUGGUAAUUUUUACUGUAGGAUCUGCCAUUGAUUUAAAUGUAGAUCUCUUCUUAGCACAUUUAUUUAUAAACAGAAUAGACAUGUACAGCACUACUUGACUGUUUAUGCUAUUUGCCUUGCAAUUGUGUCUGGAAGUGGCAUAGAGAAAAUGACUUUACCACCAAGACUUCAGUAGUGUUAAGCAGGAAUAAAGACAAGUAUAGUUUUCUGGCUCUUUCUUUUACAUGUUUUUCAGGCUUGCCAAUCUCUGGAGAGUUCUAUUCCUUCCUGAAGAUUCCCAUAAACCAUGGAGGUGACUUGAGAAUAAGUCUGAUGGCUGCUUCCUGCCUUAACUGAUGGCAUUCCACCACAAAAGAAGUGAAAUUUGGUACCAUGACUCAGAUCGGGGAACCUCUCUUGGGAGAUCAAUCCCCUGUCCUCCUGCUCUUUGCUCCAUGGAAAAGAUCCACCUACGACCUCGGGUCCUCAGACCCACCAGCCCAAGGAACAUCUCACCAAUUUUAAAUCGGGUAAGUGGCCUCUUCUUACUCUCUUCUCCAACCUCUCUCACUAUCCCUCAACUACUUUCUCCUUUCAAUUUUGGCACCACCCUUCAAUCUCUCCCUUCUCUUAAUUUCAAUUCCUUUCAUUUUCUGGUAGAGACAAAGGAGACACGUUUU